rnacentral:rRNA from 1 species
UACGAAGGGGACUAGCGUUGUUCGGAAUCACUGGGCGUAAAGCGCACGUAGGCGGAUGUGUCAGUCAGGGGUGAAAUCCCGGGGCUCAACCUCGGAACUGCCUUUGAUACAGCACGUCUCGAGUCCGGAAGAGGUGGGUGGAAUUCCUAGUGUAGAGGUGAAAUUCGUAGAGAUCGGCAGGAACACCCAGGGGGAAACCAGCCGACUGGGCAUUGACUGACGCUGAGGUGCGAGAGCGUGGGGAGCGAACCGG